GGAAGACUAAAAAAUUAAUUCAAUAUGAUACUUGCAAAACUCAAAUCCUAUGCUUAUGUCACGGUCAGGACGUUAUAAGACAACACUAUACAAGUAAACGAAGCUAUCUAUCUUCUUGUGAAAAAUGGAGUCAUUUCUGAAAGCAAACACCAGGAGUACACCACGAAGGCGUCUGGAUGAAUUCUGAGGCAUUCUGAAACACGCUAGUGUCUGGAAAGGCAGGUGGGGUCUCCGCAAUGCCCUGGUGUGGAGACUUGGCAUCUGUACUAGCCAGUGGGCACUGCUACUGCACCCUAAUUCCCUGAGAGCUGUCUCCCCGUUCCUGACUUCAGGGAGUCCCUGCAACCGUGAAGCAAAGCACAUGCAGCUUCCCGAAUUUCAUUUUUAGAGGUUUUCAUCUUUCCCUUAAAACAUUCCAGAAUUCAGAUUGAUUAAGUUCAUCGAUGCAGAGAAAUGUUCUUUAAUACUUGGCUCUCCUCACGGUGCACAUCCCCGCACCCUAAGGGGAGCUUGCCCUGUGGACAUGCUUGGAAGUGUACCAUGGAUUACAGCUGAUUUUGCUAGGAUUUCCAUGACAGAAUUAUGGGAUUUUAAGCCUAGAAAAAAUCUUUCAAGUCCGCUCCUGCCAAAGGCCAGGCUGAGUGCGAACGCUUGCUGAGAGAUGCCAUGGCUGUAACAUGCUUCUCCUUCCCAGCAUGUAGCUUUCACCUGCAAACAGACACGGGAGGCUCCCACCUCCUCAGUACCCCCAGGUCUGUUACCCGCCCUGAGCCCAAGAGGAAACAGUGGCCUGAGUCUGCAGCACCUGCCUCUCCCUUUGGAUCAAGUGAUCACACUGUGCUGGCCUCAAUCAGAAGCUGCGAGAGGGAUGGGAGCAAGGCAGAUGUUGAAAGAGAAGUGGGUUUGGAAUAAAAUCAUUGCGC
rnacentral:lncRNA from 1 species